AAAUAGCAAUACAGGGAGUGCAGAAUUAUUAGGCAAAUGAGUAUUUUGACCACAUCAUCCUCUUUAUGCAUGUUGUCUUACUCCAAGCUGUAUAGGCUCGAAAGCCUACUACCAAUUAAGCAUAUUAGGUGAUGUGCAUCUCUGUAAUGAGAAGGGGUGUGGUCUAAUGACAUCAACACCCUAUAUGAGGUGUGCAUAAUUAUUAGGCAACUUCCUUUCCUUUGGCAAAAUGGGUCAAAAGAAGGACUUGACAGGCUCAGAAAAGUCAAAAAUAGUGAGAUAUCUUGCAGAGGGAUGCAGCACUCUUAAAAUUGCAAAGCUUCUGAAGCGUGAUCAUCGAACAAUCAAGCGUUUCAUUCAAAAUAGUCA
rnacentral:lncRNA from 1 species